rnacentral:rRNA from 1 species
AGCGAACGCUGGCGGCAGGCCUAACACAUGCAAGUCGAACGAACCUUUCGGGGUUAGUGGCGGACGGGUGAGUAACACGUGGGAACGUGCCUUUAGGUUCGGAAUAACUCAGGGAAACUUGUGCUAAUACCGAAUGUGCCCUUCGGGGGAAAGAUUUAUCGCCUUUAGAGCGGCCCGCGUCUGAUUAGCUAGUUGGUUGAGGUAAUGGCUCACCAAGGCGUCGAUCAGUAGCUGGUCUGAGAGGAUGAUCAGCCACAUUGGGACUGGGACACGGCCCAAACUCCUACGGGAGGCAGCAGUGGGGAAUCUUGCGCAAUGGGCGAAAGCCUGACGCAGCCAUGCCGCGUGAAUGAUGAAGGUCUUGGGAUUGUAAAAUUCUUUCACCGGGGACGAUAAUGACGGUACCCGGAGAAGAAGCCCCGGCUAACUUCGUG